UAUUACAGCCUCAACAGUCUAAAGGCACCCGAUCCUAUCUGAUCUUGAAAGUUAACCAGGUUGAGCCUUGGUUAGUAGUUGGAUGGGAGACCAACAAUGAAUCCUUGGUGCCGUAAGUU
rnacentral:rRNA from 1 species